rnacentral:rRNA from 1 species
GUAUCCUAAGGCCAGCGAGAGAACUGUUGUUAAGGAACUCGGCAAAAUGACCCCGUAACUUAGGGAUAAGGGGUGCCACCAUCAGGUGGCCGCAGAGAAUAGGCCCAAGCGACUGUUUACCAAAAACGUAGGUUUCUGCUAAGUCGCAAGACGAUGUAUAGGAGCUGACGCCUGCCCGGUGCUGGAAGGUUAAGGGGAUCUGUUAGAG